rnacentral:lncRNA from 1 species
AGGAUGAUUAAAAGAUUGAAAUUCCUAAUAAGGCAGCCUGGGGGAGUGGAUGUGGAUGCUGGGUUUGACAUUGAGCCACUAUAAAUUCUUUGUGUUUGAGGUAUUCUGAUUGUUUAGCAUGUCCAUUUUAUUCUUUGGAUUAUUUAUUGUUCAUACUUAUCUUAGCAACUUAUGGACACUUUCAAAAGUGAGUUUUCUGCUGCACAUAUUUUGUAAAUUUUGAAAAAUUUAACUCAACCCCCCCCCCCCCAAAAAAAAAAAAACAAAGGAAUUAUUGAGAAUUAUCCAAGGAAGCAUGAUUUGGUAUAAUAGUGCGUCAAUAUUUGAACAUACAAUUUAACUUAGGUUGCUACAUUAAACUAAUGGCCUAAACUUUAGCCUAUGCACACAGAUAUAUCUACCAAUUUGUAAGGUAGAUAGUAUCACUCUAAUACUUUUUUUUUUUAAAUCUCUAAAUACCUCACAGCCAUCAUAUUGAGAGAAAUGCUGCAGUUUGAGGAAGCAUGGAGCAGGAAGAAUAUUCUUUUUGACAAAAAAAUCUGUAAACAUUAGAUUCCAAUUUUGAUUAUUUUAUGAAUAAUAAUUUUAAGAUUAAAAAUAUUUUACUAUUUAAUUAUUAUAGAUUGGAUUUAUAUUAAAAUUUAUUAUUUUUUUAAGUUCAAGUCUUCCUAGAACUUUAGCAUUAUUUUUUAUAUAUUUAUUUAUUUUAAAUAAAGGAUCCAUGUAUUGCACAUGCCACAUUGUAAUUAGAAUCGGAGAUAUUAGAACUAAGAUUUUUCGCAUGCCUUUCAUAUUGGAUUGGGGAAGCAUAGUAUGGAGAGUAUUAUUUUUUGACAAAAAAUCUAAAAGCCUCGGAUUCUAAUUUUGAUUAUUUUAAUUAAGAUAGUUUUCAGAUUAAGAUAUUUUAUUAUUUAAUCAUUAUAUAUCAUGUUUGUAUUAGAAAUAUCAUAACUAUUUUAUUACAUUUGUCUAUCAAAAAUUUAAGUCCUACAAGAAAACUUCUCUAACUUUUUUUUUGCAUUAUUAAUAUCCAGAGCAACAAAUUUUGUACUAUUUUCUAUAAGAGUUCGAGUCGAGUGAAUUUGAGGAAUUGCUUCCUUCUUCUCUCUUUAUUCGAAUCAUAGAAUAGCAAUACCACUAAAAUUCUCUUACCAAGAAUUCCAUUCAUGGAAUUGUGCCACCCAUUCUCGAGCUCUCAAUCCCACCACCCAAACAGGGGCUAUAGGGGAAGGAACUGAGAAAUUGGAUUUUAUGGGAUGAGAGUGGUUUAGCUCUGUUGCCAAAUGGAAACUGAAUAAUGCUUAGAACCCUCCUACAAUACAUUGCAUACUUUUGAGAUUUAUGCCCAUCUUUUUUAUUGUUUUUUUUUUUUUUUUUGUCUGAAAGCGGAUGUUUCAUAUAGUGCGUAUACGGAUACACCUAAAAAAGUCAAAAUACAACAAUUCGCAGAGUGCUAGUGGCAGCUCUCCCUCCCCUGACCAAAGAUUGUACCCUGAGUGGUGGGCCGCUAUCCAGUCGGCCGCCCCAUUGGCUUUUCUAAAUACAUGCUUGGCCUGAAAGACCCUCCCAUCUGUCAUCAUCAUCCCUAUGUUACGGAUUAAGGGGUGGUCUGUGCCGUCACCCCUCGACCCCCUCUAAAUCCACCCGAUAACCGUAGCCAUCUUUAUGUAUUCAAUGAUGCAUUUGGAAAGCAUUUCAAAUCUCAAAGGCCACCAUGUAUUAAAUUUUCAGCGAGAAGUCUAUCUUUGGAUCGUUAUCAUUAUCAUCACCUUUAAAUAAGCACCCCUAAACUAGUGGAGAUCAUGCUCAAAUAGGCACGGUUUCUCCGAUGGAUUUUGCUGUCAAUAUGCGAGCAUGGCAAUACGGGAGGCCGGCUUAAGUUGGCAUGAUUAGAACUAGAACACAUGAUUUAUCUCAGUAAGCGACUAAUGAGGUUUUUUUGGUUCAAUAAGAGUGACUAAAGCAUGGUUCCGCAAUGACAGAUCAUAGACAUGAUAUGGGUGUUACUAAUCAUGGUUCGGCACAGUUCGAGUACAGCACCAAAAAUUUCUGCUGUGGUUUAUUCCAACUCCAUAGCGACAUGUUUGGCGUUCAGAAACAAUUUGGAUAUUUCAAAUUGAGAACAAAAAUAUAACUUCAUCAAAAGUUUGAAAAACUCAAAUAAUUAUAUAUAUAAAAAAGAAAAUAAUGGACAUUAGAUUUUUAAAAAAUUGGCAUAUUUACUCAUGAAAAUUAGCAUAAAAAUGAAGAAUAAAUCCAUGUCCACCUCAUGAUUGAAUAGAUCUGAACGGAUUUGUUUAUUGAGAAUAUUUCAAAGAAUCAUUUGGAGAAGGAAAAGCUUGAAAAAAGCUGGGUCUUUUCGGCCACUCAAGAGAAUAUUGCUUCUGUUGUCCAUUCCUAUCCUGAGUUACCCAUAAUUCUCAUGUUACUUGCCACAUGGUUGGCUCAGACAAGAUUUCAUCGCCUACAUAAAGAGUUCUUUGAUAUACUUAGGAACAUAUGUUGCCCCAAAUAAGUAAUAGAGAGAGAAAAAGAGAGAAGCUAAGACAAGGGAGAGGCAUCAAAUCAAUAAUGGUCAGACAACCAUCUGCAAGUUCCUUCUGUAAUAUAGUGGAGAGAUCCACAGAGUUGCAAGGAAAAAGGAAGCAUGGAGAUCCCAAAUUUCAAUGUGCAACAGAAAAUAGUCAACAACAAUAUGAAGCCACUGUUUUGUUUGUUUCUUGAAUUUGUUUUAUUUAGUCUUUUAAUACUGCACCCUCACUGUUAUAUAUACAAGUAACAGAAUUAGAACAAACUCCAAUGGAGGAAAAAAAAAGAAAAAAAAGAGAAGAAAAGUAUAUAAUGCACACAGCUCCAUUGAGUUAACAGCUCCCAAGUGCUUCCAAAAUGCUAAAAAAGGAUUGGCAGAGAUCACUGGAGCUGUUAAAAACUGGGAGGAAAAACACUUCUAGUUAAGUACCUUUUCUUGGAUCAUCAACAUAUCCAUCCACAGGUCGUAUGAGUUAUUAUACCGGGUAAUGUUUAUCUAACACCAGUAAAAAAGGACCCAUAUCAUUCACCUUUAUUUUUUUCUGGUUUCACUAAUUUCUUCUCGCAAAGACAACCUUUGGGCUUGCCUGAAGCUGAAGAAGGCAAUCAUGCACUGUGGGCUUGGAGUUGUUCUCAAAAUCAGGCUUAAGUCUCAUCUGCAAUGUAAACAUUUAUUUAUGUUUGAUGAGUUUAACAAAUACAGUACAACUUUGCCAAAGUUGAAUAUGAUAUUGUAAUUCAUUACAAGGUAUGAUUUUAGCCGAUGGAAAGAACUAGUUGAAUGUAAAAAGAAAUUAUUCGUGAAUCACCUCUUGAUCUCAAGUCCCCUUUUUUUACAGCUAAAGGUACUCAGCAACAUGUCAUGCGCUAAUUAACUUAAAGAGGAGUAUUUUCAAUCAGGUAAACAACAAAAGCCAAUUAUGCCUCAUGCUCUUUUAAGCAUCGAUUUCAUGCCACAUGCAUAAAUAAUCAAACAUGUUAUGCAUUUCUACAUAUAAACACACCAAAAUGACGAAAAAACGCUAGUUGCAGCAUGCAAUUAUCAAAAGAAAGAAAAGAAAGAUUACUAACACAUGGUAUAUAUGAAACAUAGUUUGUUUUUGAUUUUGAACUGAUAACAUUACAAAUCUGUACCGAUUUCGGUCACAAUACAUGCAGUGCUUGUUGCUGCAAAAAAAGAAUUAAAAAAUGCAUUGAUGUAUGUAAUCCAUUCUUUGUUAUUAAAAUCUGAGAUGUCCCUCCAAAAAUUAAUCUAAAAUCACAAGCAAAGUUUCAAAUAUCGUGCAAUUUGGUCACGUACUGCUUGCUGGCAGGUACAGAGUGUUAGGUGAGGACCCAAUGACGACUUAGUUUUUCACUCUCGAACUCAAGUCGAAUAAAUCUAGACAUAUGUCGGACGACGGGGUUUGACGAGUUAUCCAUGACCUCCGGUCUGUAGGAAUCCAUGAUAGAAAUACUGUAUCAUACGAUAACUGCACCUACAGGUUCAUCAUUCUACUCUGCUGGGUAGCCACUACAUACUGCUAGGUGUCACUGGUGGAUGGUGAGACUCACAGGGACCAUUCUGAUGGUCGAUGAUCCCUGGUGAAAUCACAAAGGGGAUAAAGAUGAGCUCCUAUUUUGAAUUCACAAAGGGAUAAAGAUGAGCUCCUAAAAUUUAGGAGCUCAUCUCUAUCCCCACACCAUAAAAGAGGGGUUCAAAGGGGCUACGAAUUUUUCAUGGUUUUUCCUUGGGAUUUUUGGCAGCAAGGAACCUCCUUCCAUCCCUCCUUUCAGCCACAAGAAAGCAAGAAAAAAAGGCUUGUGGCGUGGCCCUUCUUCCUUCCAUUCUUUGGUUCCAACGCGAAGGGAAAAAUGAAAGACUGCGGGUUUUACAUUCUUCUUCCUACAUCCCUCCUUCUUCCUCCUCUCAAGGUAAUCAAAAGUUGAUUCAAAGGAGAGGAUAUCAGCCAUCAAAAGCUAUCUCUGCAAGGGAGCUAGCACCCCGGGAAGAUCCAAAAGCUUCAAUUGGUGCUAUACCUCGUGUGGAUACCUGUAGAGGCCGGAUGCGUGUGCGGCUUCCAUCGAACCUUCAACAAAUCCACGUAAAUCAGAUUUGCAGAGACCAUCUACCCGCACAAGAUGAAGAUCUGAUCUUCUUAAUGAUUUUAAAAUGGUUUAUAAGAAUUUAAUCCUAAUCUAUCUACAAACGACGGUUUUAAAAUACGUUCAUGCGAUGAACGGGAUCGCACAUGCCCUUCCGCUGCACAUCUAAAAAUUUUUGAAAUUUUUCUGCGGCAUGCAUCAGAUCCUAACAGUGGUAUCAGAGCCAGGUUAUGUAGAUUAAGAUUGGAAUUAAAUUUUUAAAGGCAUUUUAAAUCUAAAAUUUAAAGAAUUAUGCUUGCUGAAAUUUUCUGCAUACAGAAUUUUCAGCUUGCUGAUUUUUCUGCAUGCUAAUUUUUGAAUGCUUAGAUUAAUGAUUCUAAUGCUUUGGUAAUGUGAUUACAAAUAUUUAGAAUCAUAUCUUGCAUAAUCAGCAAGUCAUAAGAUGAAAUAAUCAGUUAAAUUACAGAUCUGAAAAUAAUAUUUAUGCAUGAGAUGCGUAUGGUGAUGAUCAUGGAUGGACCCUUUUGAAUGUGCUGAAAUAUUCUGCGAUAUUCUGUGAUGCUAUGUGAUGGCAUGUAAUUUUAAUUUUCAGAUGCCUGCGUGCAUCUUAAAUUCAUGUAUUAAAGACCUGCGUGUCUCAUGAAAAAGGGUUGUAAUUUAUUCUUUUAUUUUAUUUAAUUUUUAAAGCAAUCUGGGAUGUAAUCUGUGAUGUGUGUUGCACGUCGAUGGUUGAUCGAUAUGUACAUUAACAAGCUUAACAUGCACGGAUCGAAAUCAAGGGUUGAUUGAAGAUGGAUCAAGGAGUUGAUCACAAUUGGACCUAGGGAUCAAGAUCAAGUCAAAAGUUGAAGAUGAUCAAACCAAUUGACGUGCAUGUGAUUGUAAAAUGACCCCAUCCUGGAUCCAUGAUCAUCACCAUUUAAAUUUAUUUGUUGAUAAAUGCCUGGAUGUUUAAUGCUUAUGUCUAUACGGGUAGAUAUAUAUUUGCAUGAGAUGUGAAUAGUCGAUCGAGAGAGACCUAAAUACAAACCUUCUCAAUCAGUCAAGAGUGAACCAACAUGAGCUAGUCAUAUUAGAUUAAUUGAUCUAAUUGGUGUCUAGGCAGCUUAAAAGGUGGUUACUUAAUUAGGACCUUACUCUUCGAGUAAGGGGAACCUCCCACCUGCUUACCUGGCCAAUUGUUCCAUGCGAAACCAAUCACCGGCUAGUACAACCUCCGAUACCAAUUCGGAGAACCUUAAUUCUUGGAUAUUGCUAAAAGAAUGAUCUAUAUGUGUCCGUUUUUAAAAUUUAAAUAUGUUUUUUUUGAAUCCAUACUAACUAAAUAGUUAAUAGCACCAAGCUCCAUAAAAUAUGCAUAGAAGAGUAUAUUAGAACAAUAGUAAUUAUGCCAUCUUUAAGUGAAGCAUUAAAGUCGAUUUUAGAAGAAUUUGACAAACAUAACACAGAUCACCAACCUCAUAGUUUUGAAGUAAAUAUGCAAGCAAUGCUGAUAUUCCAUGAAUUGCAAACUUUUGUCCAAUGCAUGCUCGUGCACCAGCCCCAAAAGGAAGAAAUGCUGCACUUUUAUUUGGUUCACUUAUAAAUGGGCACUCUUCAUGCUUCUCAUGUUCCUCAAAUGUGCCUGCAAUUUCAUUUUGAGACAGAUAUUGAAAACAUUAACAAAUAAGUAUCUCAAAGAAAUGCUUUAAAGGAAUGAAAAAUGGAAUAAAUUCCAUUUCCUUUGAAGGGAGAUUGAAGUAUUGGGAGCGAACAUGCAUAAAUUAUAAAAUUGAAGGAGCCAAAAUGCAUGAUAAUGGAGGAGUUCUAUUAAACCUUUGUAAAUAAAUCAAAGCUAUAUCAUCUAAUAUUGCUUUGAUAUACCAGGAAUUAGGAAGCAUCUUACUCAGUAAAACUAUCAGAAAUAAAGCACAAUCCUUCAAACUAUUGGUAAAAGAAAUCAACCCCAUUAUGCCCAAAAGUAAUGCUCAAUCCUUAUUUGAUUUAAACAACUAAUACAGGUGACUGGCAUUGGUUGUUCUCGUCAGGUGCAACAAUUAUUGUAGCAUCAGACAAAUUGGCAAUAGCCUUUUUGUUCAUAGAAAUUCUUAAUAAGAUAAUUCUCAAAUGGUGAAAAAUCUCAGAAGACAAUGAUACAAAAAUGCAACCAACUAAAAGCCACAGAAAUAUUAUACUACCAAGAAGAGCAAAAUAUUGAUGUGUAGAAAAAGGAGAGAGAAAUGAACAUAGCUUUUGACACAAGAAUAAGAUCGUCUUAAACAACAAUAAGCAGCCUCCCACAAGAUUUUAGAAUUUUGGUUCAAGUCUUGGUUUUGAUAAGAGGACUAAAGUAUUGGCUGAAACAUGCUUCGACUGGGAUAGAUCUCAAACUGAUCAAAAAAUUCAGUUUCGGCCACCGGUUUCAACAGUUUCAGAUGAAACCAACUGAAGCUGCCGUUCUUUUACCCCAUUUGUUAACAAGUAUAUGUAUUUAUGUUUAAUAUGUGUUCGAUAUUAUUAAAUCACACGUUCAUCUGAGUCUCUAAUGAUCUUAUCUAUAUAACUUUUGUCUAAGUUAUUAUACUGGAAAGUCAAUGUAUUAAAAAGUGGAUAGAAAGCACAUAACAGCCAGGGGGGCUCCUAGCCAAUAGCGAAUAGCAAGUGCUAUGUACCCAAAGCAGGCUGUUGAAGUAUAUAUAUAUUUUCUUACUAAAUAUCAAAGAUAUCAACUCUACAUCAACUUCAUGUAAAAAAUGAAGAAAAUAAAGAAAAAUUUAAAACAACAUCCACGUAUCAUCGUAAUAUCAUAUCAACAUUUAUAAUUUUGUAUAAUGUAAAGGUACACGAUCUAAUGAGCAAUAUCAUCAUCCACCAAACAUAAUUACAUCACUCAAUAAAGAUGUCUACAAUAUGAUAACAUCAACCAUAGAAGAAAGAUGUCCACAAUCAUACAAAUAAUCCACUUCUCCUUAUCCUCUCUCUCUCUCNNNNNNNNNNNNNNNNNNNNCUCUCUCUCUCUCUCUCUCUCUCUCUCUCUCUCUCUCUCUCUCUCUCCCCCCAUGCUCCAAUUGAACAUGGGUAUGAAAUAACUAAACCAGCCCAUGUUUUAAUCAUCCUAUUGGACUAGCUGAUUGUUGGACCGCUUCAAUUGGAAAGUGGUCCAGUCUGCUAUAAAAUAAAUCACCCACUUCAAACACAGCAUCAUGGCUGCUACAGUGGGUUUCCCACUUCAUACUUGUGCCAUAUGGCACCACCAUGAUAUUUAGCAUAGCCUUCUUCGGCUGAAAGCGCUAUAGCCGCUGUAGCAGCCUAUUUUUAAAACAAUGUGGUCAAUCUGCAAACUUGAUAUAUCUUUACUAAUCAGGCAAGAUAGUUCGUCUUCUUAUUUUUCUUACUUAAAUGAGUUUCUUCCUCCUUUGCUAAAUAAAGUGAAAUAUUAAGAUGAAAUAAUGAAAUAAAAUGGGUUUUUUAUUUGGAUUGGUCCUUUUCUUUUCUUUGUCCAAAUGAAAUAGAGUAAAAUAUACUUAAAUGGGUUUCUUCUUGAUUAGAUGAAUUAAUAAAAUGCAACAAUGUUAAAUAUGCUUAGAUGUUUUUUUCCUCUGAUGAUUUAUAAAAAUGAAAUAGAAUGAAAUAUGCUUAGAGGAAAAGUUUAGUUAAAUUUUUAUGGAAAAUUAUAAAAAACAAAGAAAAGUAUAGAGAAAUUAUAAAAAUUAGAGAAUUGUAAGAAGCAGAGUCGCCGAGUUGGGAAACAAGUGUGAGAGAUCAUAUGAGAAACAAAAGUUGGUGAUUGAUAAGAAAUUAUACAAUUGGGAAAAUUGGUGGCAUCUAUAUAUGAUAAUUAAAAUUAUUCACAUAUUUAGCAUAGGAAAUAAAAAAGAUAUCUUACAAAGAUUAAAAAAAAUAAAAUCUCUACUCGUCGCCUAUGUUCUUUAAAAAGAAAAGAAAUAGGUAGCGAAGAUGAAUCUUUUUCUUCUAUUCUAAUGGGGCCUAGCUUCUAACUUUUUUUAGACAUGGGGUCCAUGUUGUGGUUUAAGGUAUAUUAGUAAUCAUUUUGAACUAAAACAAUUUUAGAUUGACAAAAUUUCUAAUUAAAGGACACUUAGAGCAAAAGUCUAUAUGGAAAGAUCACUCAUGCAAAGAAAAUCUAAAUCGAGGUUUUUUUUUAACUUCCUGUAGGUGGUGGGACUGAUGUGGUCGAGGCAUGUGGGGAAAGAGGACAAAGAGAGUGUGUAUUGGUUAUUUUCAGAAUGCAAAUUCAGCAUUUCUCAAAAUGCGCUUUGCACUCAUUUCUCAGGUUUUUUUUUUUUUUUUGUGGUACUAUAUAUUGAACGUGAGUACACCCAGCCAGAUCACUAGAAAGUAACAAAGACAAAGGAGGAGGAGCAUCUGAAUCAGACGUCCAUGGUAAGAAUAUUACAGAAAAAAAAGUCUAAACAUUUAAAGAAUUAAGCUUUGAUACAGUUUAAUUUCAAUCUGAGAUUACCCAAAAUACAUAUUAUAAUCCUAAAUAACUCAUAACACAAUAAAACGAUGUGAAUUAGCUUGUCUUUAUUUUUUCUCAACUUUUCUUGUUUGGAUCUUUUUAAACUUUUUUUACCAUAAGUCUAGAACUCAAGGUAAAAGUAUCAAAAUUGAAAUUACAAUGGUCAAGAAAAAUAGAGUUUUAUAAGAGAUGUGUAGAUCAUAUGUUAAUGAAUUUAGGGCUGAUUGAGUGACUGGCAGGGGUCGGUAGUCGACUUGUAAAAGUAUUUCAGGUUGCCUAUAUGAAUCUAUGCAGAAAUUCAGUGUGUACCACUAGAAAAAAGACAUAUAUGAGACUAAGUGCAAGUCAUCGAUACACAGAAAAGCACAGCAUAUGGAUAAGUUUAAGAAAAUAACAUAGAAACAAAAAUAGUAUGAAGCAAAAUAAAACAGGUAAAAUGAAAGAGGUUGGCGGAAAGAAAAACUAAAGAGACAGAAAGAAAAACUAGGAGGAAGUAAGAGAUGCAAAUCAGACAUCAAAUCCUUGAUGCCUUUCACAAGAACAGAGAGAAAGAAAACAGUUUAUCAUGCUUCUUGGAGUCUAGCAGAGGACCACAUAUGGCCUUCUCAGGUAAAUAAUAUCUAGAUUUUCCAGACCUCUAUAACGCAAAACUCAGUUUCUCACAGAUUCCUCUACAGAAGACACCUAAUCUACACAAAAUUAAAUCCUAAUGACUUCAGAAAUUUUCGAAUGUUAUAUAUAUAUAUAUAAUCUGAAAAUUACAAUAAACCUAAACUGCACCCAAUAGGCUACCAUUAAAUAAUAAGGUACCAUCAGAUGUAUGUACGCAGUAGUGGUGACACUAGCAGCAUCAAAACCCUAUUCUGCUUUCACCUUACUAGAUGAGUGGAAGUCAUGUUCCAAUAGAAUGAUCUUCCAGUCUAACCACUCAAAGUUGCUUACAUAAAGGGUUGGGGACCAAGUCUGUAUUUUAUUUUUGUAAUUAAACUUUUCCAAGCACCAAGAAAGAACACCAACAAGAUAGCCAUCCUUCAUGCUGCCAACCAUGAAAUUCUCUCAUUCACCAUUGACACCAAUGAGGGAUUUCAGCAAUGCAUGCUAUUUAUAUAUGAAAAAUAUUCUCUACAAAGAUAUCUUGCAUUAUCACAGCAUUGGACAUGGUUAAAGAUUUCUCUAAUUCUUUAACACAAGGUGAAUGCUAGGCAAGGGCACUGUAUUAAGUUCCUUCUUUAGUUAAUACAUACAUGGAAACACUCAAUGAAUUUUAACUUGCAAAUCAUAAUCCCUCUUACAUAUAUGAGAGUGAAACAAGGAGUCUAAUAAGUUCCCCUACUAAUCAAAGAUUUAAAUUCUUACGAAGUAAGUUGUAAUUCAUAAAACUUCAAAGAUGAUACUAAAAAUUUCAAGAAAUCAUUAAAUUCAUCUUUUGAUUAAGAAUUGUCAUUUUAAAUUGGAGUUCAGUAUUUUUCAUACUAAAGGCAUCUCCAUUCUGUGCAAUUUUCAAAUAAGUUGAAGGUGCAUUCCUCUAUAUU